rnacentral:rRNA from 1 species
UACGGGGGGGGCAAGCGUUGUUCGGAAUUACUGGGCGUAAAGGCUCGUAGGCGGCCAACUAAGUCAGACGUGAAAUCCCUCGGCUUAACCGGGGAACUGCGUCUGAUACUGGAUGGCUUGAGUUUGGGAGAGGAUGCAGAAUUCCAGGUGUAGCGGUGAAAUGCGUAGAUAUCUGGAGGAAUACCGGUGGCGAAGGCGGCAUCCUGGACCGGCAUUGACGCCGAGGAGCGAAAGCCAGGGAGCAAACGGG